GAUGAACGCUGGCGGCGUGCCUAAUACAUGCAAGUCGAGCGAACAGACGAGGAGCUUGCUCCUCUGACGUUAGCGGCGGACGGGUGAGUAACACGUGGAUAACCUACCUAUAAGACUGGGAUAACUGCGGGAAACCGGAGCUAAUACCGGAUAAUAUAUUGAACCGCAUGGUUCAAGAGUGAAAGACGGUUUUGCUGUCACUUAUAGAUGGAUCCGCGCCGCAUUAGCUAGUUGGUAAGGUAACGGCUUACCAAGGCAACGAUGGCUAGCCGACCUGAGAGGGUGAUCCGCCACACUGGAACUGAGACACGGUCCAGACUCCUACGGGAGGCAGCAGUAGGGACUCUUCCGAAAUGGGCGAAAGCUUGACGGAGCAACGCCGCGUGAGUGAUGAAGGUCUUCGGAUCGUAAAACUCUGUUAUUAGGGAAGAACACAUGUGUAAGUAACUAUGCACGUCUUGACGGUACCUAAUCAGAAAGCCACGGCUAACUACGUG
rnacentral:rRNA from 1 species